CAGCCGCCGCGGGAAUACAGAGGGUGCGAGCGUUAAUCGGAUUUACUGGGCGUAAAGCGUGCGUAGGCGGCUAAUUGAGUCGGAUGUGAAAUCCCCGAGCUUAACUUGGGAAUUGCAUUCGAUACUGGUUAGCUAGAGUGUGGGAGAGGAUGGUAGAAUUCCAGGUGUAGCGGUGAAAUGCGUAGAGAUCUGGAGGAAUACCGAUGGCGAAGGCAGCCAUCUGGCCUAACACUGACGCUGAGGUACGAAAGCAUGGGGAGCAAACAGGAUUAGAUACCCCCGUAGUCCCUGUCUCUUACAC
rnacentral:rRNA from 1 species